AACGAACGCUGGCGGCAGGCUUAACACAUGCAAGUCGAACGAGAUCUUCGGAUCUAGUGGCAGACGGGUGAGGAACACGUGGGAACAUCCCUUUCAGUUCGGAAUAACGUUGGGAAACUAACGCUAAUACCGGAUACGUCCUUCGGGAGAAAGAUUUAUCGCUGAAAGAUUGGCCCGCGUCUGAUUAGCUAGUUGGUGAGGUAACGGCUCACCAAGGCUACGAUCAGUAGCUGAUCUGAGAGGAUGAUCAGCCACAUUGGGACUGAGACACGGCCCAGACUCCUACGGGAGGCAGCAGUGGGGAAUAUUGGACAAUGGGCGCAAGCCUGAUCCAGCCAUGCCGCGUGAGUGAUGACGGCCUUCGGGUUGUAAAGCUCUUUUGUCCGGGAAGAUAAUGACUGUACCGGAGGAAUAAGCCCCGGCAAACUUCGUGCCAGCCGCCGCGGUAA
rnacentral:rRNA from 1 species